AGGACAUGAUGUGACGAGUCCGCUUCACAUGCUCGCACACAUCUUCGGGUUCAGCGUUUGGAAAAACUACCAUCGGCGAGACGUGGGAUAGGGGAGGAGCGGACUAUACCAAGCUGGCGUCCUAUCAUGGAGAGGGGGCUUUGAACCACUCGUUUGGGAACCACUUGUCUUGACCAAAAUGAUGCAUCAACAGACAAAAUGUAUAGACCCACCCAGAUUUUCAUCUCACAUGGCUGGAAAUCACAGCCUGCCACAUGGACCCAGCAGUUAUUCCUUGGCCUUUGGAUCAUCACACCACCAUUCAGUCAGGAUUUAAUAAAGAAAAGGCAACAUUUUGUGAGAUACGUAUGCCCCAGCACUAUUUAGUGAUGGCCUUCAGUGAUAUAGAUAUCUCAUUUCGGAAAUGUCAUCCAGUUAACAUGCUCUAUGUGACAAAACAGAUAACACAAACAGGAAAUGGCUUUUUACCCACCUGCCAUGUUAUCUCAAUUAUGAUUUGAUUUAAUGUGCACGAGGUAAAGCCCCCUCCACGUGAGUCAUUUCUUUUAAUGGAAUCACCUUUCAGGAUUUGAAAGGAAAUACGAGCAUUGCUUCAAAAGUAGCAGAAACUGGACAGGGUGAAACAGGGGCAGAGGCAUGUGAGGCAUGUCAAAAUAAUAGGUUAGAUUUUACACUCAGACUGUGCUCUGCUCUUCUUUUUUUUAGUGACUGCUGCCUCCAGAAAUGGCACUAAUGGCAAAGAUGGUGUAAAGGUGACCUGGCACUGAAGGAAUGGCCUUUCCAUGCACCAGGAGUGUGAAGAUGCUGUGUGUGACUUCAGGGCACAUGUUGGUGCUGAGUACGAUCUCAUUUAAUAUAGUACAGUACUUAAAAGAACAUUUUCUUCCCUCUCUGUUGAGCUGAAGAACAAGGUCACAUCACAAACAGUCACUAUACAAUUUAAUUUUUUUUAUUGUUAACUACUAGUUUUACUGAGAAAUAUCACAAUAUUAUUGAUGUGAGCAUAUUCUACGUGACUGUAAGGAAAGACCAUUUUUAUUUUACAUCUGAUUACCUGAGUGUCAUUGUAAUUACAAUAGAACAUCCAGCACACUUUAAAGCAGAUUGUGUAGGAAUGAUAGAAACUUUUUCACAAGGUAUGCUACAUGAAAGAAAAAGAAAGGUACAUGUAUUUUCUUUUCUUUCUUUCUUUUUUUAAAAAAAGAAGAAAAAAAAAGCAAUCAUGUGAAAGUGCAAUCACUGCUGAAAUCUCUGGAUUUGAUUUAGCACUUUGUCAGAGAUGGAUGAAGCCCUGAUCUGUGUUUUAGUGAACCAGGGGACAAACAACAACAACAAGUAUGUCAAGGACAUCAUGACUCAUCAUCAGUUUUCUGUUACUAUGUUACUGAAUCUAUAUUUGAUGAGGACAGACAACAGACUUGUGUGUUUUGCAAAGACUGUCCACUCUCAAUGUAAUGCAACCAUCUUGGCAGUGAACAAAUCACAGCAUUAGAACAUGAAAGCAACAUGCAUCGAAUCAUGAGUUUUAACAAACAUACACUUAAGAAGUUUGGUGACUUCACAUGCAUGCACAAGACUUUGCAGUACAGCUCUAGAGUGCUAAGAUGUGCUGAGAUGUGACGCCAUCAACUUAUUCCACCAGGAAGCUUCAACAAAUCCAAAAGCUUAUGUGUGGCAUUUGAAAAAAAUAAGCUGUUGCACCACACAUUGGUCAUGAUAUCACCACCACAUCAGCUGAAACUGGCAUGACAACAGACGUUUUGGGUGGAGGGGCAGGAUAUACUGAAUAUUAUACAUCACGUUUAGACUGACAGGCCUAAAACUAGACCAAGGCCAAAGUUGUCUGUCUGUCUGUUUAUUUGUUUGCUUGUUUGUUUGAAUGGCAUCCAUAAACUGUUGUGGGAAACUACAGUUGUCUUAUUAGACCAUCCUUCUCUCAGUUCUAAUUAUGUGGAGCUGGAACAUAAGCAAGACGCUGAGAAGACCCUGCAUCAUUAGGUGUAAUCAACCUUGGAUACCCUGAAACAAAAACAACACACACGCACAUACACGCGCACACACACACACAGCUGACAGUUGUUCAAUACCUGACAUUCAUCAUUUUGGUCCAGCCAGGCUUUUUAAUUACCGCAAUGAAUUCCCUACAUGGCUCCAGUCACCAGUCACCUGCUAUCUAAACAAGGUGUAUUGUUGAGGCUGUGCUUUGUUGAGACACCAUUUAAUGGAUAAAUGUCAACGUAGUCUGUCAUUGUGGUGAAUAUUAAAGGUAAACACAUAGAAUAGGAACAAAAAUCCAGUUUCAUAGUGGCUUCAUGAUGACAUGCUUCUUAUAUCUUGGCCAUGAAACUUGAAUAGGCCUAUUUUUUCUUAAGCCAUUAAACUUUAUUAACUGACCCACUUUGCAACAAGUGCUGCCUGUGUGGAAGUGUACAUGAAUGCUGCUAAAUAUUAUCAGUAUGUCAUGGUGUCACACUCCCUGAAAGACCCUUAUCAGCACAUUUUGGCAUGCAACACAUGUGUGACUGCAUAAAAACAGCAAUUUGCAUGUAUUAGUCAUUUGUAAACAGCUGCCCUGUCCAGCACAAGUGCAUGAUGAGGGUUUGAUUGGCUGCUCUAAGAGGAACCAGGGGACACACAAUCACAGCCCCGGUUUCUAAUUGUCUUCAUCUCUUUCUAGAUGCAGUUUACAGUUCCAUUUGUUAAGUCUAUAACCUCCAGUUUGUAUUAGGGCCGUAAUUCAUUUGAAUGUGUGCGACGUCAAAACAGUCUUAGGUGGCUACCGGUAAUUGGUUUGUGGAAUACAGCGACCCAUGCAGGCCAGUAGUGGUACUGCCAUAAUCCUGUAUGCACCUUGCAAAAACAGUCAGAAAGGAGGUUACUAUUUGAAAUGAACGACCAAUAAACACAUACAA